rnacentral:rRNA from 1 species
CUGGCGGCGCGCCUAACACAUGCAAGUCGAGGGGAAACGAUAUUGGAAGCUUGCUUCCGAUAGGCGUCGACCGGCGCACGGGUGAGUAACGCGUAUCCAACCUGCCCAUCACUUGGGGAUAACCUUGCGAAAGUAAGACUAAUACCCAAUGACGUCUCUAGAAGACAUCUGAAAGAGAUUAAAGAUUUAUCGGUGAUGGAUGGGGAUGCGUCUGAUUAGCUUGUUGGCGGGGUAACGGCCCACCAAGGCGACGAUCAGUAGGGGUUCUGAGAGGAAGGUCCCCCACAUUGGAACUGAGACACGGUCCAAACUCCUACGGGAGGCAGCAGUGAGGAAUAUUGGUCAAUGGACGAGAGUCUGAACCAGCCAAGUAGCGUGCAGGAUGACGGCCCUAUGGGUUGUAAACUGCUUUUAUAAGGGAAUAAAGUGAGUCUCGUGAGACUUUUUGCAUGUACCUUAUGAAUAAGGACCGGCUAAUUCCGUG